UCAUUUGCCACUUAAGGCACCAUUGAUGAAUACGUGCAAGAUCAGCCUGCAAUUCAAGGACAUCAUGUUCUUUCUGAAUUUUUCUGUAGACUACGCAAUCAUCAGCAAAGAGCC
rnacentral:pre_miRNA from 1 species